rnacentral:rRNA from 1 species
UACGUAGGCAGCGAGCGUUGUUCGGAGUUACUGGGCGUAAAGAGUGCGUAGGCGGUUUUCUAAGUUUGGUGUGAAAGCGCCUGGCUUAACCGGGCGAGGUCGGCGGAAACUGUCCGACUCGAGGACGGUAGAGGGGGGUGGAAUUCCCGGUGUAGUGGUGAAAUGCGUAGAGAUCGGGAGGAACACCUGUGGCGAAGGCGGCCCCCUGGGCCGGCCCUGACACUGAGACGCGGAAGGCGUGGGGAGCCGAACGGG